rnacentral:rRNA from 1 species
AGCAGCCGCGGUAAUUCCAGCUCCAAUAGCGUAUAUUAAAGUUGUUGCAGUUAAAAAGCUCGUAGUUGAAUUUCGGGACCAAUAUGUCGGUCGUGCUUCGGUACGUACUUGCAUUAUUGGUUUCUCCCUUCUGAAGAACCAUGAUGUCAUUAAUUUGGUGUCGUGGGAAAUCAGGACUGUUACUUUGAAAAAAUUAGAGUGUUUAAAGCAGGCUCGCGCUUGAAUACAUUAGCAUGGAAUAAUGAAAUAGGACGUUUGAUUCUAUUUUGUUGGUUUCUAGGAUCGACGUAAUGAUUAAUAGGGAUAGUUGGGGGCAUUAGUAUUCAAUUGUCAGAGGUGAAAUUCUUGGAUUUAUUGAAGACUAACUACUGCGAAAGCAUUUGCCAAGGAUGUUUUCAUUAAUCAAGAACGAAAGUUAGGGGAUCGAAGACGAUCAGAUACCGUCGUAGUCUUAACCAUAAACUAUGCCGACUAGGGAUCGGAUGAUGUUAUUUUUGAUGA